AUGGAGUCGCCGGCGCCGCCCUUCCCAGAUGCCCCUCCGACGCCAGCCUUCCCCGAUGCCCCGGCGGCGCCGCCCUGCAGCCCCGACUCCCCGCCGACAGUGGAGACGCAGGCAACCCUCCCGGACCACCUGGCGGAGGAGAUCCUCCUCCGCGUCCCCACGGCCGCCGACCUCGCCCGCGCUUCCAUGGCCGGCCCCUCCCUCCGCCGCCUCAUCGCCGACCAUGCCUUCCUCCGUCGCUUCCGCACCCUCCACCCGCCGCCUCUCCUGGGUAUACUCUUGAACCCCUUCCUCCCAGCCCAGCCGCCCCACCCCUCCGCCGCCGCCGCCCAAACACUCGCCGGCACAGACUUCUCCUGCUCCUUCCUCCCGUCCCGCGAGCAGCCCUGGACUCUUCGCGAUUUCCGUGACGGCCGCGCCCUCCUCUGCGCCGCCCCCGACGACUGCACCCUGGCGAGGGACGUGGCCGUGUGCGACCCGCUGCACCGGCGCUACCUGCUGCUACCUCCCGUACCCCAGGACCUGUCCGAUCUGGUCUACCACUGCCAGCUCUUUCUUGCUCCUGCCGCCACAGACGACGGUGCUGACACUGCUGCAGACGCGUCCAUGAGUUUCAGAGUCAUAUGCUUGGCCAAAUACCAGGCCCAGCUGGUCCUCUUCGUCUUCUCCUCAUCAGGCCCUCUUGCCCAACAAUGGCACACCACCGUAUUUGACGGUUGGAGCGCUCUGAUUGCGGAAACUAGUCAAGGCGAUGAUAUGCGAUCCGCCACUGCAUUCGGAAAGCGCUACUACGUGCACGGAUGCUUCUGCUGGGCGAUACCCGGGAUCAACAAGUUGCUCAUGCUCGACAUUCGUACCAUGGAUUUCUCUUCCGUCAACCUCCCGCCUAUUCCGUGGUUUAAUUCCCAGGUGGCCUUUGUGGAGGCAACGGAAGGGAGGCUUGGGAUGCUUAUUCUCAGCGACAAUCGCUUCUUGCACACCAUUUUGGUUAGCAUUGGGGAUGACCCAAAGGAGUGGCAAAUUGGGGAUGUUGUCACAUUGCGCCAUGGUUGCUGCUAUUACUCCUUCAUUGGUGCAGCUGGGGGAUACUUACUCCUACAAGGGUUUCCAGACGACCCGUAUGAAAUGCCAGGCACGGACUGUUUUUCACUGAAUCUCCAGAUUAUGAAGCUUGAGCGGUUCUGUGGGAAGGAGUUCAUGAUGCCAUUGCAGGGUCAUCUGUAUGUGGGUUUCCCGCCAUCCUUGUCUCCACCAACUAUUUGA
rnacentral:rRNA from 1 species